ensembl:snRNA U6 U6 spliceosomal RNA
GUGCUCACUUCAGCAGCACAUAUACUGAAACUGAAAUAGUACAUAGAAGAUUAGCAUGGCCCCCUCACAGAGUUGGCAUGCAAAUUCAUCAAGUGUGUGUGUGUGUG